rnacentral:rRNA from 1 species
UACGAGGGGUCCAAACGUUAUUCGGAUUUACUGGGCUUAAAGAGUUCGUAGGCGGUUCGGUAAGUGAGGUGUGAAAUCCCUUGGCUCAACCAAGGAAUUGCGCUCCAAACUGCCGGGCUCGAGGGAGAUAGAGGUGAGCGGAACUGAUGGUGGAGCGGUGAAAUGCGUUGAUAUCAUCAGGAACACCAGAGGCGAAGGCGGCUCACUGGCCCGAUACUGACGCUGAGGCACGAAAGCGUGGGGAGCAAACAGG